rnacentral:tRNA from 1 species
GAGGGUAUAGCUCAGUGAUAGAGCACAUGCUUAGCAUGCGUGAAGUCCUGGGUUCAAUCUCCAGUAUCUCUG